GGUCUGUCUCUCUCCCUCUGUCGUUGGGUUAAAAAAUUAGGGUUAAAAAAUUAUACGAAAUUGAUCAAUUGUUAUUAUUUUGUCUCUUGGAUUGUAGUGUGCUGUCAUCUGCUAAUUCUUCACAAUUACUUUACACUCCCCAAGUCAAGAAUGAGCUCAUACCAAAAAUUAACCAAGAGUUUGACAGUUUAGAGAACGUUCGGAAAUUUUACAACCGUUAUGGUAAAGAAGGUGGAUUUAGUACCCGAGCACAUACUAGUAGAAAGAAUUCAGACCAUGUAAUCGUUAGGAAGGAGUUUUGUUGUUUCAAACAAGGGUUGAGGGUCCAAAAAAGUACUCAACCAAAGAAACGGCGUCGGGGGCUAACUAGAGAGAAUUGUCGUGCAAAAUUAGCUGUUGUGAGGAAGGGGGAAAAGUACGUUGUCUCCCAAUUUUUCGAAAGUCAUAAUCACGCACUUACGUCUCCGAGAAGGGUGCAUUUGCUCCGAUCCCAUCGCAAAGUGUCCGCUGCCAAAAAAGCUUUAAUAGAACAACUUUCAGCAGCAAAUGUGCCAACAUGUCAACAAAUGACUCUAUUUGAGUUGGAAUCGGGAGGUCUUCAAAAUGUUGGAUGCUCACAACAAGAUCUUUAUAAUUAUAAAAGGGAUAUGAAGAAAACGGUAGACGGACAUGACGCCAAUAUGUUGUACGAGUACUUUGAGACUGAAAAAGUAAAGAAUGACGGUUUUACUUAUACAAUAGAGAAAGAUGAUGAGGGGAGGAUGACAAAUUGUUUUUGGGCAGAUGCAACCGCUAGAAAGUCAUACCAGUAUUUUGGGGACGUUGUGGUGUUUGAUACUACGUAUAACACUAACCGUUAUUCUAUGAUUUUCGCACCGAUUUUAGGGGUUAAUCACCAUAGGCAGACUACUCUUUUUGGGUGUGCAUUUUUAUGUGAUGAAACAGCUGAGACUUUUGAGUGGCUUUUCAAGGAAUGGUUGAAAGCAAUGCCCGCAGGCCCUCCCAAAAUGAUCAUAACUGAUCAGGAUCCCGCAAUGACAAAAGCAAUUGGUAUUGCUCUUCCGAAUACGCAUCAUAGGUAUUGCAUGUGGCACAUUACGAAUAAGUUUUCAGAAAAAUUAAGUGCGUUGUCCUACAAAGAAUAUUAUGAGGAGUUUAAGAAUUGUAUAUGGAAUUCCGAGACCCCUGAACAAUUCGAGGCUGGAUGGGUAGAGGUGAUAAAUAAAGCUAACUUAUCCGGCAAUGAUUGGUUACAAAACUUGUACGAAAUUCGUGAGAGAUGGGUUCCUGCAUACGUGAGACACAUUUUUUCUGCCCACAUGACUAGUAGUCAAAGAGCCGAAAUUACUCAUUCAUUCUUCAAGAGGUAUGUGUCUAAAGAAAAUUCAUUGUUGGACUUUGUGACGCGUUUUGGGAGGGCACUUGCACGUAUACGCCAUAAUGAGUUGGAUAGGGAUCAUAAAGACAUCAAUGAGAGGCCCAACUUGAAAUCUAUGUACCCCAUGGAGUCGACAAUGAGUGAAUUGUAUACAUUUGAGAUAUUUUACAUGUUUCAAGAUGAGCUCUUUCAAAAUACUGCUUAUAAAGUGAUGGCAACAAAUGAGGACGAACAUCGGGUUGUGUAUGCCGUUCAUAGGAUAAAGGGGAGUGGUUCGAGGGUUCAUGAAGUUGUGGUAGAUAAGUCGUCAAACCAUGUCCGUUGUAGUUGUAAGAUGUUUGAGUGUGCCGGAAUUCCUUGUCGGCACAUCUUGGCUUACUUUUCUAGAAUGCAAAUAGAAGAUUUGCCUAAUGAAUACAUCUUGUGGAGGUGGACAAAAUCAGCGAAGGCUAUGCGAGUUAGAGAUGACUUGAGUUCAGGCAUGAAACAAAUAUGUGACACGCCUUUGUUAGAGCGGCGAAAUAGACUCUUCCAACUUGCUUCUACUUUAAUUGAUGAGGCCGUAGUAUCUGAGGACGGAACACAAUUUGUGGAAGAACUUUUGAGUUCGGGUCAAAAGAAGUUGUGUGACAUGAAAAAAGUAAGCGAAGAUGGUGAAGGGAGUGCUAUCCAAGUGUCGAUUAUUUGUGAUCAUGGUUUGAAAGAACCGCUUCAAGUGAGGGCUAAGGGUUGUGGUAAACGACUCAAGGGAGGGAAAAAAAAGGCUGCCAAGAAAGCUAGGCGUUGUCAUGGUUGUGGGUUAACAGGGCAAUCGCACGACAAAAGAAAUUGUCCAAAACUUCUCAGCACAUCUUCGCAAAAUGCUGAGUUGAAUGAUGAAGACGACGACGACGAAGACGACGACGAUGCUUGAUAGAUUGGUGUAGCAGUUUGGAACUGCUGUUGGGGCUUUUGUGGUUGCAUUGCAUGCUUCCUGGAAGAUGAAUUUAAAACAACUGACGAAGGCAAAAAUGAUUUUGGAAAAGACCAUCAGUUUCUACUUUUUCCCCAAAGAGGAGGAGAUGAGUGAGGAAGAACUGGAAAAAAUGAUGGAAGAGCAUUACAGACCAGGUGCUGGUUUCGUUACGUAUG